CUACGGGCCGCACCAGUAAGGAAUAUUGCGCAAUGGAGGCAACUCUGACGCAGCCAUGCCGCGUGCAGGAAGAAGGCCUUAUGGGUCGUAAACUGCUUUUAUUUAGGAAUAAACCCCCGAACGUGUUCGGGGCUGAAGGUACUAAGCGAAUAAGCACCGGCUAACUCCGUGCCAGCAGCCGCGGUAAUACGGAGGGUGCAAGCGUUAUCCGGAUUUAUUGGGUUUAAAGGGUGCGCAGGCGGGCUAUUAAGUCAGUGGUGAAAUCCCGGGGCUCAACUCCGGAACUGCCAUUGAUACUGAUAGUCUUGAGUUUGGUUGAAGUGGGCGGAAUGUAGCAUGUAGCGGUGAAAUGCAUAGAUAUGCUACAGAACACCAAUCGCGAAGGCAGCUCACUAAGCCAAAACUGACGCUCAUGCACGAAAGCGUGGGGAUCAAACAGGAUUAGAUACCCCCGUAGUC
rnacentral:rRNA from 1 species